AAACGUAGGUGGCAAGCGUUGUCCGGAAUUACUGGGUGUAAAGGGAGCGCAGGUGGAUUGACAAGUCGAAUGUGAAAUGCAGAGGCUCAACCUCUGAACUGCGCUCGAUACUGUUGAUCUUGAGUGGAGUAGGGGCAGGCGGAAUUCCCGGUGUAGCGGGGGAAGGCGUAGAUAUCGGGAGGAAUACCGGUAGCGAAGGCGGCCUGCUGGGCUCUAACUGACACUGAGGCUCGAAAGCGUGGGGAGCAAACAGGAUUAGAUACCCUGGUAGUCCACGCCGUAAACGAUGAUUACUAGGUGUGGGGGGACUGACCCCUUCCGUGCCGAAGUUAACACAUUAAGUAACCCACCUGGGGAGUACGACCGCAAGGUUGAAACUCAAAGGAAUUGACGGGG
rnacentral:rRNA from 1 species